UCUUUUCUUUUGAUAAGAGAGUUUUUAAAACCAGUGUUAUUUUUGUAAGUUUAAGAGAAGUUUGUGUAUUGAAUUUUUUAUUUUUAAUAUUAAAGAGCUUUGUUAAACUUAGACUUAAGUUUAGGUCAUUUUGGGGGUUUAGCCCAGUUGGCUAGAGCAUCGGCUUUGCAAGCCGAGGGUCAAGGGUUCGAGUCCCUUAACCUCCAUUGGGCUUAUGUCCUAAAUUGUAAUUAAGUAUGUUUUUAAGCAACUUUGUUAAAGUAAUUGUUAGAAUGUGAAACAGAGAAAGUUAAAAUUUCUGGGUUAAGUUGAGAUCUGUUGAUAUUAAGAAGAAUCUCUAGAAGCAAAAGCAAGCUUUCGAUAAAACCCGAAGUUGUUUCGCUAAAGUGCAAGGAUUAAACAGGAUUGUAUUUUCCAGCAGCCUAUUUUAUAAACGAUCUGCAUUUAGUAAAUAGUUUUUAGUUAAGAAAUAAUGUAGAUUGCUAAGUGUGAUGUC
rnacentral:misc_RNA from 1 species